GGUCGAGUGGCGAACGGGUGAGUAAUACAUCGGAACGUGCCCUGUAGUGGGGGAUAACUAGUCGAAAGACUAGCUAAUACCGCAUACGACCUGAGGGUGAAAGUGGGGGACCGCAAGGCCUCAUGCUAUAGGAGCGGCCGAUGUCUGAUUAGCUAGUUGGUGGGGUAAAGGCCUACCAAGGCGACGAUCAGUAGCUGGUACUGAGAGGACGAUCAGCCAC
rnacentral:rRNA from 1 species